CCUACGGGUUGCAGCAGUAGGGAAUCUUCCGCAAUGGUCGAAAGUCUGACGGAGCGACGCCGCGUGAGCGAAGAAGGUCUUCGGAUCGUAAAGCUCUGUUGUUAGGGACGAAGAAGUACCGUUCGAAUAGGGCGGUACGGUGACGGUACCUAACGAGAAAGCCCCGGCUAACUACGUGCCAGCAGCCGCGGUAAUACGUAGGGGGCGAGCGUUGUCCGGAAUUAUUGGGCGUAAAGCGCGCGCGGGCGGUCCCUUAAGUCUGAUGUGAAAGUCCACGGCUCAACCGUGGAGGGUCAUUGGAAACUGGGGGACUUGAGUGCAGAAGAGGAGAGCGGAAUUCCACGUGUAGCGGUGAAAUGCGUAGAGAUGUGGAGGAACACCAGUGGCGAAGGCGGCUCUCUGGUCUGUAACUGACGCUGAGGCGCGAAAGCGUGGGGAGCAAACAGGAUUAGAUACCCGGGUAGUC
rnacentral:rRNA from 1 species